rnacentral:rRNA from 1 species
UGGGGAAUUUUGCACAAUGGGGCAAACCCUGAUGCAGCCACGCCGCGUGAUUUAGAAGGCCUUCGGGUUGUAAAAAUCUUUUCUAUGGGAAGAAAAUGACAGUACCAUAGGAAUAAGGACUGGCUAAUUACGUGCCAGCAGCCGCGGUAAUACGUAAGGUCCGAGCGUUGUCCGGAAUCAUUGGGCGUAAAGGGUACGUAGGCGGGUAAGCAAGUUAGAAGUGAAAUCCUGUAGCUCAACUACAGUAAGCGUUUAAAACUGCCCAUCUUGAGAUAUGGAAGGGAAAGGGAAAUUCCUGGUGUGGCGGUGAAAUGCGCGGAUAUUGGGAGGAAUACCGGUGGCGAAGGAGACUUUCUGGCCAUAAUCUGACGCUGGGGUACGAAAGCGUGGGUGGCAAACAGG